rnacentral:rRNA from 1 species
AUUGAACGCUGGCGGCAGGCCUAACACAUGCAAGUCGAACGGUGACAGGAAACAGCUUGCUGUUUCGCUGACGAGUGGCGGACGGGUGAGUAAUGUCUGGGAAACUGCCUGAUGGAUGGGGAUAACUACUGGAAACGGUAGCUAAUACCGCAUAACGUCGCAAGACCAAAGAGGGGGACCUUCGGGCCUCUUGCCAUCGGAUGUGCCCAGAUGGGAUUAGCUAGUAGGUGGGGUAACGGCUCACCUAGGCGACGAUCCCUAGCUGGUCUGAGAGGAUGACCAGCCACACUGGAACUGAGACACGGUCCAGACUCCUACGGGAGGCAGCAGUGGGGAAUAUUGCACAAUGGGCGCAAGCCUGAUGCAGCCAUGCCGCGUGUAUGAAGAAGGCCUUCGGGUUGUAAAGUACUUUCAGCGGGGAGGAAGGGAGUAAAGUUAAUACCUUUACUCAUUGACGUUACCCGCAGAAGAAGCACCGGCUAACUCCGUG